AAGUCGUAACAAGGUUUCCGUAGGUGAACCUGCGGAAGGAUCAUUACCGAGUAAGGGUCUUAUAGGCCCGACCUCCCACCCUUUGUCGUCGAACAAAUCUUGUUGCUUUGGCGGGACCGUCGGCCCUCACGGGUUGGCUGCCGGGUCCCGACCGGGACGUAAGCGCCCGCCAGAGACCAACUAAACUCUUCGUUUAACAAUUCGUCUGAGUAAAUGAUUUAAUCAAUCAAAA
rnacentral:misc_RNA from 1 species